GACAAGUGGGGAGGAGGGCUGCCCAAAUUUAGUUUCAGGGACAAAGUUGGGUAAGGCACAGCUGUGUAAGUACAUGUGCGCCAACGAUCAUAUUUUCAGUGCAAGUAAUGGGGGAGAUGGAGUAUGUUAAGGAAACAAAGGAAGGGCACUCACCUGGAGAAAUUUACGUUGAAGUAAGAUUUGAGGGGGAAUCUGUCAGAGGUAGCUGCCCAGCAUAUGCAAGAAUGUCAGACAUACUACCUGUAUUUAUUUGCCUCUUGGAGAAAUGUCAAAUUGAGGGAAUGAAAAUCUGUACAGAUGUCUAAAGAAUUACAGAGAACAAAACUGGAACAAAGACAAAAUCAUAAAUUCUCAACACUGAAGAUUAGUGGCCGUGAAACAAAAUCUCAGGAACUGCCAGACUGUUUUCAAAGGUGGCUGCACCAUUUCACAUUCUCACUAGCAGUGUAUGAAGGUCCUGGUUCCUUCACAUCCUCAUCAACUCUUGUUAUUGUCUGUCUUUUUCAUUAUAACCAUGCGAGUGGAUAUAAAGUGAUAUUGAAACGGAGCAGGACCCUACAGUCCUUGCCCCCCGCCCCCCAUAUCCUCAGCCUGCCUUUUGUCUGUGGAAACACUUUAGCCAAAGAAUAAGUUUAA